AUGACAGUCAUUUAGCCCAGACAUUAGAGCCGCAUGAUCGACGGCGCACGCAGCAUUCCAUCGAACAGGCGGCCAGCGCGGACGCACGCAUGGCCCUGCCGGAGAUCGAGCUCGGGAUCAGAGUAUCGGACCAACCCAACCGCCUUGGUGGAUGGACCGUCGAGCGCGGGACGGGAACGGUGCUGACUGCGGAGGCGGUGCAAGCAAAGCGUACCGCUGCUCUGUGGCCCCAUGAUGGAGACGACGGCGUAGGAGAGCCCGCACCCGGCGACGCCGGCGGCCGCCAUGAACCGCUCCGCCCCCUCGGCCGCGAACUCGCCCUCGCCGUCGAUCAGCUGCACCGCCACCCCCUCCGCCGCGUCGCUCUCCUCCAUCUCCGGUUCCG
rnacentral:misc_RNA from 1 species